CCUACGGGAGGCUGCAGUGGGGAAUAUUGGACAAUGGGGGGAACCCUGAUCCAGCCAUGCCGCGUGUGUGAAGAAGGCCCUCGGGUUGUAAAGCACUUUCAGUGAGGAAGAACGCCUGGUGGUUAAUACCCAUCAGGAAAGACAUCACUCACAGAAGAAGCACCGGCUAACUCCGUGCCAGCAGCCGCGGUAAUACGGAGGGUGCGAGCGUUAAUCGGAAUUACUGGGCGUAAAGCGCGCGUAGGUGGCUUGAUAAGCCGGUUGUGAAAGCCCCGGGCUCAACCUGGGAACGGCAUCCGGAACUGUCAAGCUAGAGUGCAGGAGAGGAAGGUAGAAUUCCCGGUGUAGCGGUGAAAUGCGUAGAGAUCGGGAGGAAUACCAGUGGCGAAGGCGGCCUUCUGGACUGACACUGGCACUGAGGUGCGAAAGCGUGGGUAGCAAACAGGAUUAGAUACCCGUGUAGUC
rnacentral:rRNA from 1 species